rnacentral:tRNA from 1 species
GCGGGAGUAGCUCAGUGGUAGAGCACAACCUUGCCAAGGUUGGGGUCGCGAGUUCGAACCUCGUCUCCCGCUCCA